rnacentral:rRNA from 1 species
UACGGGGGGGGCAAGCGUUGUUCGGAAUUACUGGGCGUAAAGGGCUCGUAGGCGGCCAACUAAGUCAGACGUGAAAUCCCUCGGCUUAACCGGGGAACUGCGUCUGAUACUGGAUGGCUUGAGAUUGGGAGAGGGAUGCGGAAUUCCAGGUGUAGCGGUGAAAUGCGUAGAUAUCUGGAGGAACACCGGUGGCGAAGGCGGCAUCCUGGACCAACCCUGACGCUGAGGAGCGAAAGCCAGGGGAGCAAACGGG